CUAGGGAUCUUCCCCUGUCCCAUCCAUCUCACCGCCGCCGCCACUGUUCUCUCGGGAUCCAUUCCGAGCCAACCACCGUCCCUCCUGCCCGAUCCAUCCAUCCAGCGCUCCCCACUGCUCCUCCUCGAUCUAGGUGCCCGCGCCCCCGAUCCAAACUCCCUCUCGAGCUCUCCCCGCCAACUAGUGCCUCCCCUAGAUCCCGUCGUCUUCGCGUGCCACGCCGGAGUUCCACCUCGCCGGAGCACAGGACCCCCUCUGCCGCCGGUGAGAUGCCCUGCUGCUGCUCCUCCGUUUUCCCCUGCACCUCCCGUGCCUCACAUCUCCCUCUCGACCUCCUAUUGCAGCGCCAUGGAUGGCUGCAGCCCAAGCCGCGUCCUCGCCGGGCCUCUCGCGCGCCCGAGCUCCACCUUGCGUGCCCGCCUCCUCGUCCUCGUGGCUGAAGCAGCCGAACAGGAGGCCGAGCGCCCAACCCAGUCCCCGUAGCCUCCCGUGCACGUCGUCUCGUCCCGGACCUCGCCGGAAGGAGCAUCACCACCUCAUCCCUGGAGCCGCCCCUGCCGGAUCCGCGUCCUCGCCAUGCCUAUGAUCCGCCCGUCGUUCCUCACCCGCCCGAGGGCGCCAUCGUUCCCCGUUCCAGCGCGGCUGCUGCCGGCCUCGUCUCUCUGCGAGGGAGACGAGCCCCUCGCUCGUUGACCGCGGCCUCCUCAAGCCCGGCGCCGCCAAGCCGCAUCCUCGCCAGAUUCUCCUCCCCGCCAUCACCUGCGCGUCCCCGGCGUCGUCAACCACCGCUCCAUCCUCUGCUUCGGGCGACAGAGGACGCCACUCGUCCUUGCCGCGUUGACCAUAGCCAGCGCCCCUGGCCCAGCUUCAGCGGCCGCGUGGGCUACCAGCAAGCAGGCCCAGCGCCCCCCUUCCAGCCUCCCUCUCCAAGCCGAACGGGCCAAGGCCCACUGGCUUCGGUUUCUUUCCGGAGUUGUGAGGAUUCGUUCGACUACGUCCGUUUGUCUUCU